UGAUGAGGUAGAGGCGCGAAAAAGAAGAGUAGAUAGUGUGAGGAUGACAACUGAGAUCACUAUACAAAAGGCUUUUUUGCCGAAGUUAUGCAGCAUGCGUCAACAUCUGCACAGCUGGGGUUACCUUGAAUAAGGGUAACACUGUCAUUGCAGGGAUAUCUGCAAUGGUGGGCUACUGAUCGU
rnacentral:ncRNA from 2 species